UACGAAGGGGGCUAGCGUUGCUCGGAAUUACUGGGCGUAAAGCGCACGUAGGCGGCUUUCUAAGUCGGGGGUGAAAUCCUGGAGCUCAACUCCAGAACUGCCUUCGAUACUGGAAAGCUCGAGUCCGGGAGAGGUGAGUGGAACUGCGAGUGUAGAGGUGAAAUUCGUAGAUAUUCGCAAGAACACCAGUGGCGAAGGCGGCU
rnacentral:rRNA from 1 species